AGGGUUUGAUCAUGGCUCAGAAUGAACGCUGGCGGCACGCUUAACACAUGCAAGUCGAACGAGAUCUUCGGAUCUAGUGGCAGACGGGUGAGUAACGCGUGGGAACCUGCCCAGUAGUAGAGAAUAACUUGGGGAAACUUAAGCUAAUACUUUAUACGUCCUUCGGGAGAAAGCUUUAUGCGCUAUUGGAUGGGCCCGCGUUAGAUUAGUUUGUUGGUGAGGUAAUGGCUCACCAAGGCGACGAUCUAUAGCUGGUCUGAGAGGAUGAUCAGCCACACUGGGACUGAGACACGGCCCAGACUCCUACGGGAGGCAGCAGUGGGGAAUAUUGGACAAUGGGGGCAACCCUGAUCCAGCGAUGCCGCGUGAGUGAUGAAGGCCCUAGGGUUGUAAAACUCUUUCGUCAGGGAAGAUAAUGACGGUACCUGAAGAAGAAGAUCCGGCUAACUCCGUGCCAGCAGCCGCGGUAAUACGGAGGGGUCUAGCGUUAUUCGGAAUUACUGGGCGUAAAGCGAGCGUAGGCGGAUUUGUAAGUUGGAGGUGAAAUCCCAGAGCUUAACUCUGGAACUGCCUUCAAAACUACAUUUCUUGAGUUUGGUAGAGGAGAGUGGAAUUCCUAGUGUAGAGGUGAAAUUCGUAGAUAUUAGGAGGAACACCAGUGGCGAAGGCGACUCUCUGGGCCAAUACUGACGCUGAGGUUCGAAAGCAUGGGUAGCGAACAGGAUUAGAUACCCUGGUAGUCCAU
rnacentral:rRNA from 1 species